AUGUAUUGAAUUUUUAUAGGUUUUCAUAAUCGAAUUUAUGAAUAGGUUAUGCCAAAAUUUUUAUAGGUUUUUAAAUUAGUAAAAAAAAAUUUUUGCCUUCGGCGAAUCUUACCCCUCCUGUCAGGGAAUCCUGGAUACGCCACUGGUUGAAACAGAAAAUCAUUCAAAUGAGUGAGGUUCUUUUAUACUAUAUGAAUGUACACUAAGUUGGAACUAAAUAAUAAAAAAUAGAAAAAACCUCUGAAAUAAUGAUAUUAGUAGGAAGUAAAUUAAAAAGAACGCCUGAAAUAUGAUUCAAACUAAAAUCAUGAUACUGAAAUAGAAAAACUAAAAUCAUAAUACUGAAAAUGAUACAAACUAAAAUUUCAUUAGAAAAAAAACAUUAGAAACUGUAAAGAAGUUUAUCACACUACAAGAAAUAAGACCUUGUAUGGCGGUCUUUAGAUGGCGGAAAUCCGCCAUCUAAAGUGAUCCUCGACGGAAAUCCGCCAUCUAAAGACCGUCAUCUUGGACACCGCCAUUAAAACCCCUAAACCGCCAUCUAAAGACCGCCAUCUAUUAUCCAUCCCCAUUUCCCACCAAAAAUUGUAUUCCGCCAUCUAAUCUGAAAAUUUUCGCGCGAACUGAAAAGUUUUAGAUAGCAGAAAUCCGCCAUCUAAAAUAUGGCGCGGGAUAGGCCGAUGCUGGACGAACAGGUGGUGCUGGAUGAACCGGGAGAUAAAACCGAAAAGCAUCUUGGAGAUUGGGUGGUAGAGCCCUCCUACGAGGUAAUUGCUUCACUCUACGUGGCAUUUCUUAAAAUCUAAAAAAAUAUUUAAUUAAUUAAUUAAAUAUUUUUUAAACAAACAAAUAAUUAAUUCAUUAAUGAUUUCAUGGAAAAUUAAUGAUUAUUAUUUCAAUUUAAAAUAAUUCAAUUUAAUAAUUAUUCAUUAUGAUUUCUAUAAUUUCAUGCAAAUUAAUCAUUAAUAAUUAACAAAUUUAAAAUUUCAUACAAAUUAAUUUCAUGCAAAUUAAUUAAAUUGUAUUAAGAUUAAUUAAAUAUUUUUAAAAUUAAAUGAUUAAAUAUUAAUUAUUAACAAAUUAUUUUAUUUCAUGCAAAUUAAUUAAUAUUUAAUAAUUGUAAAUUAAUUAAUAAUUAUUUAAUAUUCAAUUUAAUAAGUCAAUUGUUAAUUUCAUGGAAAUUAAUUAAAUCAUUCUAUUCAUAAUUAAUUUACAAAUUAAUAAUUAUUUUUUCAAUUUAAUAAUUAGUUAAUUAAAUUUUUAUUUCAAUUGAAAAUUUAAUCAUUUCAUUUUACAAUAAAUUUAAUUAAUAAAUUAAAAAUUAGUUAAUUAAAGAAAUAAAUUUAAAUUUUUACCGCAAUAUAGCUUCCAAAUCCGAAUUUCACAAAAGAUCAGUUUUCAGAACCUACAACGUAUAAGUAUAAAACAAAAUAAUUAUUUUAAUUAAUUUUUAAAUUAUAUAAAACAAUAGAAUUAUUUAAUUAUUUCAACAAAAUUAUUAAUUAUUUAAUUAAAAACAGUAAAUCAAAUAAUUAAUUUCAUUAAUUUUAAAAAUAUUUAAAAACAGUAAAUUAUUUAUUUAUUUCAAAAUAUUAUUAAUUCUUUAAUUAAAAACAGUAAAUAAAAUAAAGAUUUUAAAUUAUUUUUAAAAUUAUUUAUUAAUUCUUUAAUUUAAAAACAGUAAAUUAUUUAUUUAUUUAUUUAAAGAAAAUAUUAAUUAUUUAAAAACACUAAUUUGUUUUAUUAAUUCAAUAAUAACAGUAAUUAUUAUUUUAAUUAAAUACACUUUCAUUUAAUUUAAAAACAUAAAAACAGUCAAUUAUUUAUUUAUUUAUUUAAAAAAAUUAUAUUUAUUCAUAUUUAAUUAUUAACAUAUACAAUACAUUAAUGUAAAUUGUUAAUUAAUUACUACUUUUUAAAAAAAUAACAUUCAAUUAAAUAAUUAUUAAUUAUUAAACAAUAUUAUUUUACAAUUUAAUAAAUAAUAAAACAUAUUAUUUUUUAACAUAAACAUUUAAUAUUUCAUUAAUAACAUAUUAAUUUUAUUGCAAUUAAUUACUUGAAUUCAUGCAAAUUAAUUAAUUACAUUCAAAAACACAUUAAUUAUUUUAUAUAAAUUUUAAAUUAUUUAAAAACAUAAAUUAAUUAAUUAUUUUAAUUAAUUUUUAAAUAAUUUUAAAACAGAAAAUAAUUAAAACAAAUUUAUUUCAUGCAAAUAAUUAAUUAAGAUAUAGAUUCAUGUAAAUUAUUAAUUAAAUUGAUAUAUAAUUACAAUUAUUUAAAUAAUUUAAAAAUAAGUUGAUUAAAUAAAAAAUUUAAUUAUUUUCUGUUUGAAAAUAAUUAUAUAAUAAAAUAAUUAUUUCUUUAAAUUCUUUCUAAUAUAUAAAUUAAAACAAUAUAAAAACAGUAAUUAAAUAAUUCAUUUUAAAUUAUAUUUACAAAUAUAUUAAACAUAAACUUUCACAGAUCGAUAUAUACCUUCGCAGAUGAAGAUCGAUACCUUCCCAGAUCAAUACCUUCACAAAUCGAUACCUUCACAAAUUAAUAUAUUGAUGAAGAUUAGUAUAUAUUAAUAAAUCAAUAGAAAGGAUUAGUACACUAAUUAAACAAACUAAAACAGUACAUAAACUAACUAAAAAAUACAAUAACUAAAUGAUGCAAUAUAAUUCCAAUUACUUGACAAUAAUACAUGAAAAUGUAUAAUUCAUUUAUAAAACAUUCAUAUAACACUAAAAUAACACUCAUUCAUCACUUAUUUGAGUUUGAUUAAAAGUAAUCACUUAAUUUAUUAACAAAUAAACAGUAGAUUAGUUGAUAAUUAACAAUAACAAACAAACAAAGAUAAACCCAAUCAUCAAAACAGUAGAUUCCAAUAACAAACAAACAUAGAUUAUAGUUGAUACUUAAAUAACAAACAAACAUAUCCACAAAAUAACAAAAUCAUAAUAAAAAAUCCAAAAAAAAAAAUCAAACAUAGAUAAUAUAUAUAGUAUAUAUGAUUCCAAACAUUCCAACACCAUAAAUCAAAAUCAAAUUUCCUAACAUUCAAACACCAUAAAUAAUUCCAUACAUAAAUAAACAAAUAAAAAAUACCAACAAAAAGAUAGAUAGAUAAAGAGAUCAAUAGAUUAGAAUGAAGAACAAAACCCAUCACAAAAACCAUUACAAAAGAUGGAUAGGUAAAGAUCAAAUGCAAUAAUAGAAAAUCAAAAUAUAAAAAAUAACCCAUCACAUACCUUCACAGAUGACCGGCGAGGUGAGGGGCAGCGCACGGCGAGGCGAGACCGACCGGCAGGAGCGAGCGGCGGCGAGAAAUCGGGAGUCGGCGGUCGGCAGUCUGGAUUUCGCGAAUGUGCGUUCUCUG
rnacentral:lncRNA from 1 species